rnacentral:tRNA from 1 species
AAUCCNAUAGCUCAGCUGGGAGAGCGCCUGCAUGGCAUGCAGGAGGUCAGCGGUUCGAUCCCGCUUAGCUCCACCA